rnacentral:rRNA from 1 species
CCCGCCGGCGACCGGCGCACGGGUGAGUAACACGUAUGCAACCUGCCCUCUUCAGGGGGACAACCUUCCGAAAGGGAGGCUAAUCCCGCGUAUAUCGGUUUCGGGCAUCCGAGAUCGAGGAAAGAUUCAUCGGAAGAGGAUGGGCAUGCGGCGCAUUAGCUAGACGGCGGGGUAACGGCCCACCGUGGCGACGAUGCGUAGGGGUUCUGAGAGGAAGGUCCCCCACACUGGUACUGAGACACGGACCAGACUCCUACGGGAGGCAGCAG